rnacentral:rRNA from 1 species
AUACGGAGGGUGCAAGCGUUAUCCGGAUUUAUUGGGUUUAAAGGGUGCGCAGGCGGACCUGUCAGUCAGUGGUGAAAUCCCGGGGCUCAACCCCGGAACUGCCAUUGAUACUACAGGUCUUGAGUACGGUUGAAGUAGGCGGAAUGUAGCAUGUAGCGGUGAAAUGCAUAGAUAUGCUACAGAACACCGAUCGCGAAGGCAGCUUACUAAGCCGAUAUUGACGCUCAGGCACGAAAGCGUGCGUAGCGAACAGGAUUAGAAACCCCAGUAGUCC